GAUGAACGCUGGCGGCGUGCCUAAUACAUGCAAGUCGAGCGAACAGACGAGGCGCUUGCUCCUCUGACGUUAGCGGCGGACGGGUGAGUAACACGUGGAUAACCUACCUAUAAGACUGGGAUAACUUCGGGAAACCGGAGCUAAUACCGGAUAAUAUAUUGAACCGGAUGGUUCAAUAGUGAAAGACGGUUUUGCUGUCACUUAUAGAUGGAACCGCGCCGCAUUAGUUAGUUGGUAAGGUAACGGCUUACCAAGGCAACGAUGCGUAGCCGACCUGAGAGGGUGAUCGGCCACACUGGAACUGAGACACGGUCCAGACUCCUACGGGAGGCAGCAGUAGGGAAUCUUCCGCAAUGGGCGAAAGCCUGACGGAGCAACGCCGCGUGAGUGAUGAAGGUCUUCGGAUCGUAAAACUCUGUUAUUAGGGAAGAACAAAUGUGUAAGUAACUAUGCACGUCUUGACGGUACCUAAUCAGAAAGCCACGGCUAACUACGUG
rnacentral:rRNA from 1 species